GACGAACGCUGGCGGCGUGCUUAACACAUGCAAGUCGAGCGGUAAGGCCCUUUCGGGGGUACGACGAGCGGCGAACGGGUGAGUAACACGUGGGUGACCUGCCCUCAGCUCUGGGAUAAGCCUGGGAAACCGGGUCUAAUACUGGAUAUGACUCCAUGACGCAUGUUGUGGGGUGGAAAGCCUUGUGCGGCUGAGGAUGGGCCCGCGGCCUAUCAGCUUGUUGGUGGGGUGAUGGCCUACCAAGGCGACGACGGGUAGCCGGCCUGAGAGGGCGACCGGCCACACUGGGACUGAGACACGGCCCAGACUCCUACGGGAGGCAGCAGUGGGGAAUCUUGCGCAAUGGGCGAAAGCCUGACGCAGCGACGCCGCGUGAGGGAUGACGGCCUCGGUUGUAAC
rnacentral:rRNA from 1 species